rnacentral:rRNA from 1 species
UACGUAGGCAGCAAGCGUUGUUCGGAGGUACUGGGCGUAAAGGGUGUGUAGGCGGUUGUUUAAGUUUGGUGUGAAAUCUCCCGGCUCAACUGGGAGGGUGCGCCGAAUACUGAAUGACUAGAGUGCGGGAGAGGAAAGUGGAAUUCCUGGUGUAGCGGUGAAAUGCGUAGAUAUCAGGAGGAACACCGGUGGUGUAGACGGCUUUCUGGACCGUAACUGACGCUGAGACACGAAAGCGUGGGUAGCAAACAGG